rnacentral:rRNA from 1 species
CCCUUAGAUGUCCUGGGCCGCACGCGCGCUACACUGAUGCAUUCAACGAGUUUUACCUUGGCCGAGAGGCCUGGGCAAUCUUUUAAACCUGCAUCGUGAUAGGGAUAGAUUAUUGCAAUUAUUAAUCUUGAACGAGGAAUUCCUAGUAAACGCAGAUCAUCAAUCUGCAUUGAUUACGUCCCUGCCCUUUGUACACACCGCCCGUCGCACCUACCGAUUGAAUGGUCCGGUGAAGCCUCGGGAUUGUGGCCAGUUCACUUUAUUGGGAGUUGGCUGCGAGAACUUGCCUAAACCUUAUCAUUUAGAGGAAGGUGAAGUCGUAACA